rnacentral:tRNA from 1 species
GGAGAGAUGGCUGAGUGGUUGAAGGCGCACGCCUGGAAAGCGUGUAUAGGUUCAUAGCCUAUCUGGGGUUCGAAUCCCCAUCUCUCCGCCA